GAUCUGAAUCGAAAUAAGCGAAAAAGAAUCGUGUAUCUUGUAUCUCACGUUGUACGUUCAUUAGUGACUCGUAAUAAGUAGUAGGUAGAUUGUGUAGAGUGGUAUUUCGGAAUAAACAAGCGGCCAAACAAGUAAGACCGUCAAACUGCCAAACCCAUCGUUCAAUAUGACCCAACCUUAUAAAACAGUGGUUACUAAUCGUUGGAUUGCUGUGGAUUAUGAUGAUGAUAAAUUAAAAUUCUAGUGAAAAAGAGUUCCGCGGGAAAUGGAGGUGGGUGUCGUCGUAAUGGUUGUUUCUCUGGUUGUACAUGAAAUUUUUCUGGAGAGGCUUCAAGCGGAAUUCUCCUCUUAUGACAAUGAAAAACCAAAAGAGAAACUUUCGAAAACUUCCCGAAUCUUGUAAACGAUUGAACAAUUCUGUUUCUACAUCAAUUACCAGGACAAUUAUCAGGUGGACUUCAUCACCGAAAAAAAGUUUCAGACAAUUGGUUUUAUAGGAGAGGGAAGGAAGUUUCUACCUAGGACGAGCCUAACGAGUAAGCGAAAUAAGAUUACGUUCGACGUUCUAAACAACUGAAUCAAACUACCAUAUACUAUAGAAUGAAAAUGCCCAAUAAAAUGCGGUUCGGACCAUUAUAAACAGUUACUUUUUGGCUCUGCACUAAAAGACAAAAUACCUCAAGGAAAUCCCACAGCAUGCAAAAUUUCAUUUAAAUCAUGCUUCUGAAUCAACAUACUAUUAACAAACACAAACAUGCGUGGAACAGGUAA